UAGCAGAAGGAAGUGUAGAGGGAUGACUUAUAUGUAUAGGAUCGGUUUCCUUGUUUUUGUACAAAUAAGUAAUUCCUAUAUGUUUCCUUCUACGAA
rnacentral:pre_miRNA from 1 species